rnacentral:rRNA from 1 species
AAUGGCUCACCAAGGCGACGACGGGUAGCCGGCCUGAGAGGGUGACCGGCCACACUGGGACUGAGACACGGCCCAGACUCCUACGGGAGGCAGCAGUGGGGAAUAUUGCACAAUGGGCGAAAGCCUGAUGCAGCGACGCCGCGUGAGGGAUGACGGCCUUCGGUUGUAACCUCUUCAGUAGGAAGAAGCGAAAGUGACGGUACCUGCAGAAGAAGCGCCGGCUAACUACGUGCCAGCAGCCGCGGUAAUACGUAGGCGCAAGCGUUAUCCGGAAUGAUGUCGACGCGGCCG